rnacentral:rRNA from 1 species
UACGGAGGGGGCUAGCGUUGUUCGGAAUUACUGGGCGUAAAGCGCGCGUAGGCGGCUUUGUAAGUUAGAGGUGAAAGCCCGGGGCUCAACUCCGGAACUGCCUUUAAGACUGCAUCGCUUGAAUCAUGGAGAGGUUAGUGGAAUUCCGAGUGUAGAGGUGAAAUUCGUAGAUAUUCGGAAGAACACCAGUGGCGAAGGCGACUAACUGGACAUGUAUUGACGCUGAGGUGCGAAAGCGUGGGGAGCAAACAGG